rnacentral:rRNA from 1 species
GAGUUGAUCCUGGCUCAGAAUGAACGCUGGCGGCAUGGAUUAGGCAUGCAAGUCGCACGAGAAUUCACCUUCGGGUGAGAGGACAGUGGCGAAAGGGUGAGUAACACGUGAGUAUCUGCCUCCGGGUCGGGGACAGCCCGCGGAAACGCGGAUUAAUACCCGACGAACCCCAUGGGGUAAAGAGGAAUCGCCCGGAGAUGAGCUCGCGGCCCAUCAGCUUGUUGGCGGGGUAAUGGCCCACCAAGGCAACGACGGGUAGGUGGUCUGAGAGGAUGGUCACCCACACUGGGACUGAGACACUGCCCAGACUCCUACGGGAGGCUGCAGUCGAGAAUCAUCCGCAAUGGGCGAAAGCCUGACGGUGCAAUGCCGCGUGGGGGAUGAAGGCCUUCGGGUCGUAAACCCCUGUCAGAAGGGACGAAGCAAGUGACGGUACCUUCAGAGGAAGCCACGGCUAACUACGUGCCAGCAGCCGCGGUAAUACGUAGGUGGCGAGCGUUAUUCGGAUUUACUGGGCGUAAAGGGUCCGCAGGGGGUUUGCCAAGUCCGGUGUGAAAGUCCAGGGCUCAACCCUGGAACUGCGCCGGAUACUGGUGAACUUGAGUGCGCGAAGGGCAGGCGGAAUUCCUGGUGUAGCGGUGGAAUGCGUAGAUAUCAGGAAGAACACCGACGGCGAAAGCGGCCUGCUGGCGCGCCACUGACCCUCAUGGACGAAAGCGUGGGUAGCAAACAGGAUUAGAUACCCUGGUAGUCCACGCUGUAAACGGUGCAGACCCGAUGCGGGGGGCAGCCCCCUCCGUGUCCAAGCUAACGCGUUAAGUCUGCCGUCUGGGGACUACGGUCGCAAG